UGCUGGGGUAGCUCAGUUGGUAGAGCACUUGCCCGUGAAAGGCAAAGGUCCCGAGUUCGAGUCUCGGUCCGGCAC
rnacentral:tRNA from 1 species